rnacentral:rRNA from 1 species
UACAGAGGGUGCAAGCGUUGCUCGGAAUCAUUGGGCGUAAAGGGUAGGUAGGUGGUCUCAUUUGUCAGGGGUGAAAUCCUUGGGCUUAACUCAAGAAGUGCCCUUGAAACGGUGAGACUGGAGUCUUGGAGAGGUUCGCGGAAUUCCCGGUGUAGCGGUGAAAUGCGUAGAGAUCGGGAGGAACACCUGCGGCGAAGGCGGGUUGCUGGGCUGACACUGACGCUGAGGCGCGAAAGCUAGGGGAGCGAACGGG